UGGAGGGGGAGGUGGCGGUUCCCCUGAGGAGGGUGUUUGUCUUUAAAGCUGACGCUCCCCGUCCCGCUUCCCGCAGGGAAGGCUGAGGGCGCUGCCGGCGCUGAAGUCCUUGUUGGGGUCCCCGCCCCGGAGCCUCUCUCAGCGGGACAGGAGGGGUGUCCUUUUCCUCAUUUCCAGGUCCUUCUAACUGUGAGUGUGAGUUGAGCUGAUUAAAAGACUGUGACUCCUCAACAUUGUGUCACUGAGGAAACAACCCAGAACGUGAUCAGGACCAGGACCCAAUGGCUUCUUCUCAGAAGUUUGGCACAUCACCCGGAAAUAUUGGCAUCACAAGUAAAAAGUGAGCUUGUGACACAUAUGGAAACACAGGCCCCAUCUCAGAACCCGGAUCAGCAUCUGUAUUUUUACAGAAGUUCAUUUCGUUGUGUUCGGCUUCACACUUGAGAAGAAGUCCAUAUACUUCCAACCAGCAUGACCUUUCCCACUGAGAAAUAUACAUCACUGACCCUGAAUGAUGCAAAUACAGCCUUCAGAAAUCCAUAUGCCCCUGUGCAUUUCUGAAUUUUUAAGGUUAUUU